GACGUAGGGGGCAAGCGUUGUUCGGAAUUAUUGGGCGUAAAGCGCUCGUAGGCGGGACAGGAAGUUCGUGUUGAAAGACCUCGGCUCAACUGAGGGACCGGCUCGAAUACUCUUGUUCUUGAGGCAAUCAGAGGGUGAUGGAAUUCCCGGUGUAGCGGUGAAAUGCGCAGAUAUCGGGAGGAACACCAGUGGCGAAGGCGAUCACCUGGGGUUGUUCUGACGCUGAGGAGCGAAAGCGUGGGGAGCAAACAGG
rnacentral:rRNA from 1 species